UUUCGCAUCCCGGGUGCUGGCAGUGCUUCCUCGAGCCCAGCGCGCGCCUGCCAAGCCCCACAAGCUGCCAGCCCCUGGAAGGCACUUGUCCCUGGCUCCAGGGGACACAUGCCAUCCUGGCCCAAUGCCGGUGGCAUGGUGUGGCGGGAUGGAUGUCCCUCGGCCGAGCCCCAACAUCGCCUGGUGGACAAAAUCUUCUCUUCCCCAUCGGUGGUGGAGCAAAGGCUGCGCUUUGUGGGCAUCUGGUGAAAAGGCAGCGAGUGAAGCCCUGCCAUGGUAAAGGCAGCUGUUGGGCCCGCUCCCCGUGCAGCAGAGCAGUGGCUGCGGAUAUCAGAUGGAGAGGGAGCUCCAGCGAAAAAAGGCACUACCAGGAGAUAAUAGAGAAAACCACGGAGUGAGUCUUCUUGGAGGAUGUUUCUGGCAAGGAAGGAAGGAGAAGAAAGUAGUUGGGAACAGCCAGCAUGGAUCAGUUAAGGGUAAAUCAUGCCAGAUCAACCUGACUGCCCAUGGUGUUAAAAAUCCUGAGGAAGGAGUCAGAACAUCCAUGGCCUGGAGACUGGGGAAAAGAAGAUGACAUCUGGGCUCAAUCCAGGAAAUUUGGGGCAUCAUUUUGAGUUCAUUCCCUGCCAGCCAGCCACACAUUCCUGGGGAAGAUGAGCUGCUGAAGUGUCAGGCCCAGGAGGCGUUCCAGCAUUCUGCGUUUUAAGGCAGUAACCAACUAAAUUCAUAUUAUUGCAAAUCCUCUGGCUUUCUCAUUUCAUGUCAAAGAGAAGAAGGGAAACAAAUUUGGCAGAGAGCCUGAGCACCUGUCCUGCUAUCAAUGCACAUCAGCCCACUGGAAGUUUUUCCCCUCCUAGAGAACAGAGUGAUUCAGCUGGGAUGUGCCCAAACACCCUUGCACUCUUCACUUCUCCCUCAGUGGCGGUGGAGGAUGAGGGUCCUGGUGGUUGGGCAACGCAGCGUCAGCGGGCUAUUUCCUGAGGACUGCCCAUACCUCAGUCCUAUAAACUUUAAAAUUAAAAUAAAUAAAUAAAUAAAGUCUAUAUAAAUUUAAAA
rnacentral:lncRNA from 1 species